AAGGAACAGUCACGAAUAUCAAUGAGCAUGACGCCAGUAUUCUGUUGUCAGGCAUUAUCGAGUCACGGCACAAGGCAGCUCCCACGGCUUUGAGGACGCAAAGGCGAUGCACGACACUUGGAAUUUUGUUCUGAGUAGAGAGGUGUGAGACAAAUAGGGCGCUCCCAGCUCCUAACUCCAAAAGCUUUUUGUGCGCUCCAAAAAAAAUACAAACCUUUCGGAGGUGACCUGGAAAAGAUUAUUA
rnacentral:rRNA from 1 species